AGCAGCCGCGGUAAUUCCAGCUCCAAUAGCGUAUAUUAAAGUUGUUGCAGUUAAAAAGCUCGUAGUUGAACUUCAGGCCUGGCUGGACGGUCCGCCUUCUGGGUGAGUACUGUCUGUGGUCGGGUCCUACCUUCUGGCGAAGCGUCAUGGCCUUAACCGGCCGUGGCGGGGAGCCAGGACUUUUACUGUGAAAAAUUAGAGUGUUCAAAGCAGGCACGCGCUUGAAUACAUUAGCAUGGAAUAAUGGAAUAGGACAGUGGUUCUAUUUGUUGGUUUCUAGGACCGUUGUAAUGAUUAAUAGGGAUAGUUGGGGGCAUUAGUAUUCAAUUGUCAGAGGUGAAAUUCUUGGAUUUAUUGAAGACUAACUACUGCGAAAGCAUUUGCCAAGGAUGUUUUCAUUAAUCAAGAACGAAAGUUAGGGGAUCGAAGACGAUCAGAUACCGUCGUAGUCUUAACCAUAAACUAUGCCGACUAGGAAUCGGGCGAUGUUGACAAAAUGACGCGCUCGGCACCU
rnacentral:rRNA from 1 species